GGGUUGUGAGGUUAAGCGACUAAGCGUACACGGUGGAUGCCCUGGCAGUCAGAGGCGAUGAAGGACGUGCUAAUCUGCGAAAAGCGUCGGUAAGGUGAUAUGAACCGUUAUAGCCGGCGAUGUCCGAAUGGGGAAACCCAGUGCAAUUCGUUGCAYUAUCGUUAAGUGAAUACAUAGCUUAACGAGGCGAACCGGGGGAACUGAAACAUCUAAGUACCCCGAGGAAAAGAAAUCAACCGAGAUUCCCCCAGUAGCGGCGAGCGAACGGGGAGCAGCCCAGAGUCUGAAUCAGCUUGUGUGUUAGUGGAACGGUCUGGAAAGUCCGACGGUACAGGGUGAUAGUCCCGUACACCAAAAUGCACAGGUUGUGAACUCGAUGAGUAGGGCGGGACACGUGGUAUCCUGUCUGAAUAUGGGGGGACCAUCCUCC
rnacentral:rRNA from 1 species